GCCCCCAUUGUCUAGCGGCCUAGGACGUGGCCCUCUCAAGGCCAAAACACGGGUUCGAGUCCCGUUGGGGGCACAA
rnacentral:tRNA from 1 species